GACAGAGGGGGCUAGCGUUGCUCGGAAUUACUGGGCGUAAAGGGCGCGUAGGCGGCACUGUUAGUCAGGCGUGAAAUUCCUGGGCUCAACCUGGGACUGCGCUUGAUACGGCAGAGCUAGAGGAUGGAAGAGGCUCGCGGAAUUCCCAGUGUAGAGGUGAAAUUCGUAGAUAUUGGGAAGAACACCGGUGGCGAAGGCGGCGAGCUGGUCCAUUACUGACGCUGAGGCGCCGACAGCGUGGGGGAGCAAACAGG
rnacentral:rRNA from 1 species